GGGUCCCGGGAAAUAGCCCCACCGUAUAGACCGUACCCGAAACCGACACAGGUGGUCAGGUAGAGUAUACCAAGGCGCUUGAGAGAAGUGUCCUGAAGGAACUCGGCAAAUUACCUCCGUACCUUCGGAAGAAGGAGGCCCUCACUGAGCGCAAGCUUUUUGAGGGGGCACAGGCCAGGGGGUAGCGACUGUUUAGCAAAAACACAGGGCUCUGCUAAGUCGGCUUCAAGACGACGUAUAGGGUCUGACGCCUGCCCGGUGCCUGAAGGUUAAGUGGAGGGGUGCAAGCUCCGAAAUGAAGCCCAGGUAAACGGCGGCCGUAACAAUAACGGUCCUAAGGUAGCGAAAUUCCUUGUCGGGUAAGUUCCGACCUGCACGAAUGGCGUAACGACUUCCCCACUGUCUCCAGGACAUGCUCAGCGAAAUUGAAUUCUCCGUGAAGAUGCGGAGUACCCGCGGUUAGACGGAAAGACCCCGUGCACCUUUACUGCAGCUUCAGAGUGGCAUUAGGAAGGAACUGUGUAGAAUAGGUGGGAGGCUUUGAAGCAUUGGCGCCAGCUGAUGUGGAGCCGCAAUGUGAAAUACCACCCUGUUGUUUUCUGAUGUCUAACCUCGAUCCAUGAAACUGGAUCAGGGACCCUCUGUGGCGGGUAGUUUGACUGGGGCGGUCGCCUCCCAAAGAGUAACGGAGGCGCGCGAAGGUUGGCUCAGGACGGUUGGAAACCGUCUGUUAGAGUGCAAUGGCAUAAGCCAGCCUGACUGCGAGACUGACAAGUCGAGCAGAGACGAAAGUCGGUCAUAGUGAUCCGGUGGUCCCUCGUGGAAGGGCCAUCGCUCAACGGAUAAAAGGUACGCCGGGGAUAACAGGCUGAUAACCCCCAAGAGCUCAUAUCGACGGGGUUGUUUGGCACCUCGACGUCGGCUCAUCACAUCCUGGGGCUGGAGCAGGUCCCAAGGGUUUGGCUGUUCGCCAAUUAAAGUGGUACGUGAGCUGGGUUCAGAACGUCGCGAGACAGUUUGGUCCCUAUCUGCCGUGGGCGUCGAAAUUUGAGAGGAGUUGACCCCAGUACGAGAGGACCGGGUUGAACACACCUCUGGUGUACCUGUCGUUCCGCCAGGAGCGCAGCAGGGUAGCUAUGUAUGGACGGGAUAACCGCUGAAAGCAUCUAAGCGGGAAGCCUCCCUCGAGAUAAGAUUUCUUAGGACGGUCGGAGACCACGACCUUGAUAGAUCGGAUGUAGAAGUGCGGUAACGCAUGGAGCUAACCGAUACUAAUUGUCCC
rnacentral:rRNA from 1 species